GAGCAGAGCACAGCAGAAGCCCUCCGAGCAUUUGUGAUGCAAAGGAAAACAACAUCCAGGUAACCUCAACCCAAGUUUACCAAGUUUAAGCAGCGCCACCGCAAGGAGACAUAAGAAUGACGCUAUCACAGCCUUGAUCUUGAUGACAUGAUGACAUUAACCAGAUCAGAGAACUUUUCCGACAUGCUUGGGAAAGGAACGGGUGAGAGUAAGAUUGGACCUUUAACACAUCAUAAAAAGUAGUUCUGCAAUACACAGCCAUAUUUUCUUUACUUGGGUGGUGGCUGACCUUUGACUAUAAAUGGCAUCACAGUCAUCUACAGUC